rnacentral:rRNA from 1 species
UGCUGGAGGUAUCAGAAGUGCGAAUGCUGACAUAAGUAACGAUAAAGCGGGUGAAAAGCCCGCUCGCCGGAAGACCAAGGGUUCCUGUCCAACGUUAAUCGGGGCAGGGUGAGUCGACCCCUAAGGCGAGGCCGAAAGGCGUAGUCGAUGGGAAACGGGUUAAUAUUCCCGUACUUGGUGUUACUGCGAAGGGGGGACGGAGAAGGCUAUGUUGGCCGGGCGACGGUUGUCCCGGUUUAAGCGUGUAGGUGUGUGUUCCAGGUAAAUCCGGUUCACUUUAACACUGAGGCGUGAUGACGAGGCACUACGGUGCUGAAGCAACAAAUGCCCUGCUUCCAGGAAAAGCCUCUAAGCAUCAGGUAACAUCAAAUCGUACCCCAAACCGACACAGGUGGUCAGGUAGAGAAUACCAAGGCGCUUGAGAGAACUCGGGUGAAGGAACUAGGCAAAAUGGUGCCGUAACUUCGGGAGAAGGCACGCUGACAYGUAGGUGAAGUGAUUUACUCAUGGAGCUGAAGUCAGUCGAAGAUACCAGCUGGCUGCAACUGUUUAUUAAAAACACAGCACUGUGCAAACACGAAAGUGGACGUAUACGGUGUGACGCCUGCCCGGUGCCGGAAGGUUAAUUGAUGGGGUCAGCGCAAGCGAAGCUCCUGAUCGAAGCCCCGGUAAACGGCGGCCGUAACUAUAACGGUCCUAAGGUAGCGAAAUUCCUUGUCGGGUAAGUUCCGACCUGCACGAAUGGCGUAAUGAUGGCCAGGCUGUCUCCACCCGAGACUCAGUGAAAUUGAACUCGCUGUGAAGAUGCAGUGUACCCGCGGCAAGACGGAAAGACCCCGUGAACCUUUACUAUAGCUUGACACUGAACAUUGAGCCUUGAUGUGUAGGAUAGGUGGGAGGCUUUGAAGUGUGGACGCCAGUCUGCAUGGAGCCGACCUUGAAAUACCACCCUUUAAUGUUUGAUGUUCUAACGUGGACCCGURAUCCGGGUUGCGGACAGUGUCUGGUGGGUAGUUUGACUGGGGCGGUCUCCUCCUAAAGAGUAACGGAGGAGCACGAAGGUUGGCUAAUCCUGGUCGGACAUCAGGAGGUUAGUGCAAUGGCAUAAGCCAGCUUGACUGCGAGCGUGACGGCGCGAGCAGGUGCGAAAGCAGGUCAUAGUGAUCCGGUGGUUCUGAAUGGAAGGGCCAUCGCUCAACGGAUAAAAGGUACUCCGGGGAUAACAGGCUGAUACCGCCCAAGAGUUCAUAUCGACGGCGGUGUUUGGCACCUCGAUGUCGGCUCAUCACAUCCUGGGGCUGAAGUAGGUCCCAAGGGUAUGGCUGUUCGCCAUUUAAAGUGGUACGCGAGCUGGGUUUAGAACGUCGUGAGACAGUUCGGUCCCUAUCUGCCGUGGGCGCUGGAGAACUGAGGGGGGCUGCUCCUAGUACGAGAGGACCGGAGUGGACGCAUCACUGGUGUUCGGGUUGUCAUGCCAAUGGCACUGCCCGGUAGCUAAAUGCGGAAGAGAUAAGUGCUGAAAGCAUCUAAGCACGAAACUUGCCCCGAGAUGAGUUCUCCCUGAGACUU